rnacentral:rRNA from 1 species
CCUACGGGUGGCAGCAGUGGGGAAUAUUGCACAAUGGGGGAAACCCUGAUGCAGCGACGUCGCGUGAGUGAUGAAGUAUUUCGGUAUGUAAAGCUCUAUCCGCAGGGAAGAAAAUGACGGUACCUGACUAAGAAGCCCCGGCUAACUACGUGCCAGCAGCCGCGGUAAUACGUAGGGGGCAAGCGUUAUCCGGAUUUACUGGGUGUAAAGGGAGCGUAGGCGGCGGUUGAAGCCAGAUGUGAAAGGCCGGGGCUCAACCCCGGGACUGCAUUUGAAACUGUGGUGCUAGAGUGUAGGAGAGGCAGGCGGAAUUCCUAGUGUAGCGGUGAAAUGCGUAGAUAUUAGGAGGAACACCAGUGGCGAAGGCGGCCUGCUGGACGAUGACUGACGUUGAGGCUCGAAAGCGUGGGGAGCAAACAGGAUUAGAUACCCGAGUAGUC